rnacentral:rRNA from 1 species
CCUACGGGAGGCAGCAGUGAGGAAUAUUGGUCAAUGGCCGUAAGGCUGAACCAGCCAAGUAGCGUGAGGGAAGACUGCCCUAUGGGUUGUAAACCUCUUUUAUGCGGGGAUAAAGGUGUCCACGUGUGGAUGUUUGCAGGUACCGCAUGAAUAAGGACCGGCUAAUUCCGUGCCAGCAGCCGCGGUAAUACGGAAGGUCCGGGCGUUAUCCGGAUUUAUUGGGUUUAAAGGGAGCGUAGGCCGGUCUUUAAGCGGGCCGUGAAAGUUUGUGGCUCAACCAUGGGAGUGCGGCGCGAACUGGAGACCUUGAGUGCGCGAACGGCAGGCGGAAUUCGUGGUGUAGCGGUGAAAUGCUUAGAUAUCACGAAGAACCCCGAUUGCGAAGGCAGCCUGCCGCAGCGUUACUGACGCUGAGGCUCGAAAGCGCGGGUAUCGAACAGGAUUAGAUACCCUUGUAGUC